CCUACGGGGUGCACCAGUGGGGAAUAUUGGACAAUGGGCGAAAGCCUGAUCCAGCAAUGCCGCGUGAGUGAUGAAGGCCUUAGGGUUGUAAAGCUCUUUUACCCGGGAAGAUAAUGACUGUAUCGGGAGAAUAAGCCCCGGCUAACUCCGUGCCAGCAGCCGCGGUAAUACGGAGGGGGCUAGCGUUGUUCGGAAUUACUGGGCGUAAAGCGCACGUAGGCGGCUUUGUAAGUUAGAGGUGAAAGCCCGGAGCUCAACUCCGGAAUUGCCUUUAAGACUGCAUCGCUAGAAUUGUGGAGAGGUGAGUGGAAUUCCGAGUGUAGAGGUGAAAUUCGUAGAUAUUCGGAAGAACACCAGUGGCGAAGGCGACUCACUGGACACAUAUUGACGCUGAGGUGCGAAAGCGUGGGGAGCAAACAGUAUUAGAUACCCCGGUAGUC
rnacentral:rRNA from 1 species